rnacentral:rRNA from 1 species
AUUGAACGCUGGCGGCAUGCUUUACACAUGCAAGUCGAACGGUAACAGGCCUUCGGGUGCUGACGAGUGGCGAACGGGUGAGUAAUGCAUCGGAACGUACCCAGAGGUGGGGGAUAACGCAGCGAAAGCUGUGCUAAUACCGCAUGUGAUCUGAGGAUGAAAGCGGGGGACCGAGCAGCAAUGUUUGGCCUCGCGCCUUUGGAGCGGCCGAUGUCGGAUUAGCUAGUUGGUGGGGUAAAGGCCUACCAAGGCGACGAUCCGUAGCCGGUCUGAGAGGACGGCCAGCCACACGGGGACUGAGACACGGCCCAGACUCCUACGGGAGGCAGCAAUGGGGAAUUUUGGACAAUGGGCGCAAGCCUGAUCCAGCAAUGCCGCGUGCGGGAAGAAGGCCUUCGGGUUGUAAACCGCUUUUGGCAGGAACGAAACGGUGUCCGCUAAUACCGGGCGCUAAUGACGGUACCUGCAGAAUAAGCACCGGCUAACUACGUG